AAGUCGUAACAAGGUAACCGUAGGUGAACCUGCGGUUGGAUCAUUAACGAUCUUCACCCCUGGAAAGGGGCUGAUCAACACCUGUGAACUGUACUGUGAGCAGGUGGUGGGGUGAAAACUCCGUCGCCUGUUUGCAUUUACUUACACAUUUGACUGACAUCAUCGCGUUUACGUGAUAAUUGAAAACAACUUUCGACAAUGGAUCUCUUGGCUCUC
rnacentral:misc_RNA from 1 species